UUUCAGUUGUUCUUAAUGUGUUAGCAGGGAGUUACCUCUCUUAACAGAUCAUAAAGACAGAGUUUCGAUCCAGAUUCAGUUUCUUGAGCUGCCAUUUUGUAUCAUCGGGCUGCACAGAUGACCAGAUAUUUUCAUGGCUUCUGUAUUCCUUAACAAUAACGAAACAUGGUCUUUUGGUAGAUAUACAUGUUAAUAAACAAUAUUUAUGUGUGUGUGUGUGUUUGUGUGUGUGGAUACAUUAUAUCGUCACUUCUUAUCAGUGACGCUUAUUUGUAUGUAGUCUGCACUUGAGUACAUCAACAGGCGAUACUUAACUAUUGAGUUUAGGUGUGUGAUAGUAGGCUGGACUUGCUUGAUGAGCGCUGCACUUCAAGGACAUCUGGAUGUUGCCGAGGAGCUGGUGGCUAACAAAAUUGAUGUUAACGCUAAAACGACUUCUGGCUUAACUGCAUUAAUGAUAGCGUCAGAAAAUGGACAUAUUCAGCUUUUAAAAUAUUUGCUGAGUAAAAAUGCUGAUAUCAAUGCUAAAACUGUUGGUGCUUCGGGGCUCCCCUACAGGAAAGUUAUUAUAAAGAAAGUUGAGGGUCCAGGUGUGCAUUUCUCGCUCUGGAACAGUCACAUCAGUCUAAGUACACCCCCCACAAUUCAAGCUUACAUCGGAACAGUCACAUCAGUCUAAGUACAGCCCACACAAUUCAAGCUUACAUCGGAACAGUCACAUCAGUCUAAGUACAGCCCACACAAUUCAAGCUUACAUCGGAACAGUAGGAACAUGCAUCGUUGGAGAUACUGGUUCUUAGAAGGAAACGACACAGUCAUUAUAAAUUAUACAACUUUUAAAUGUAAACUAAAUACCACGUACUUUUUAGUUUGAGUUAUUCAAAAAAAGAUUUAAAAAACUAUGACUUUUCUCCCUUCCUUUCGGACAGGGGCGGACUGGGUAUCAAAAUUGGCCCUGGCAUUACCAUAUAAACCGGCCCACAAAUGGCUUGUCAUAUAUUUUCGGUGUGGGGUGUGUGUGUGUGUGUGUGUAUUUUUACCCCACUCCGCAAUUUAUAUAUAUAUAGUGUGUAUAUAUAGUGUGUGUGUAUAUGUAAUUAAUCUUCAUUACAUUCUGAUCUUUCAUUCUUUCAAACGUUUUUUCUACCUAGAAUACUCUCUUCCUAUAAUUAGUGAAAAGGCAGUACACACCGCCAAAGGGCAGUACGGGUGAGCGCUGUGAGCUCCUCCUCCCCCCCCCCCCCUUUUCCAGUGGGGCACCAAGCAUUAUUUCCGUUAUUUUAAGCUUUAAAAAUGCAUAUUCUGAGGUAUCUACAGUGCAAUUAGCCUGCUACUCUUCCGGUAAAAAAAUUCAAAAACCAAAUCUGCUAUUCAAUGGAGUCCAGCGACUGGUUGAAAAUGGUAACUAUGGUUUUGCUAUAGCUUUUGUAUUGGAAAGGGAAGGGAAACCACAAAACCCCUUUUGGUUACGCCCAUGAAAUUUGGUGACUGUAGUUUGCUUAAGUUGGCUGCAGUGGGGUUGUAAGUAAAGUUUCCCUUUCAGACAAUGAGGUCUGAGGCAGGUGAUGGUUUGAAGACCCUCCCCUCCCGGCUACGCCCAUGUGUUAUAUUAUAGGUGUAAGCCUAAUUCUCUACAAAAUAUACAAAGUUUAAUCUGUGGCAUUUACGUCUCGAGAGACGAUCUUUUCCCUUUGCAACUUCUUGUGUGACUAAAGAGGCCAAUCCUUGAUACACAGCUGCGAUCGCAGGUUGGGCAUAUAUAAUCACCAGGCGCCGUUGCAUUUUCACCCUUCUUUCUGCUUCUGUUGUGUAUGACAUCUGCAGCCUGUGACCCUUCCUUUAUGCUCUCUCUCCAUGUGGAUCUGUCCAGUGCCACCUCUUCCCAGUUGCCAGUGUCAAUUUGAAGAGCUUCAUGUCGCGUUUGCAUACAUCCGUAUAACGUAAAAGUGGGCGACCAGCGGCUCUCCUGCCUUCUAUUAGAUCGCCAUACAGAAUGUUUAAUAAGGCAGCGAAAACUGGAUGUAUGCAUUCGUAGAAUUACAUAAUGUAUUUUAUUUGUACACUAGACAUAUGUUACCCGCUACCCGCGGGUCUUUAUUUGCGCAUUACUGUCGAUAUAGUCACUGAGAGUGUUUUGUAAACAAAUAAACGAAAUAAUAAUGUAAUAAGUAAAGCGAAUGUGUCAAUGUAAAAAUAGUGUGAAUAAUGCUAUCAAAUCAAAAUAGCUAAUAGGCUUAAAUCCAUUUUUUUAAAAUUAAAACAUUUCUUUUAAAUAAUCUAGUGGAUUGGAUUUAGAUGUAUGUUAAACGUAGCUAAUGAUCCUUUCACGUUAUUUCAGUUUCGCUACGAAAAUAAAAUUAGUUUUGCGAAAAUGGUUUACCCAAAGUCGAUACAUUCAUAUCUAUUAAAAACGAAAAGAGCGAUAGCUUUGUUAAAUAAAUGGGAUUAUAAAGUGAACAAUUAAACGAAAUAAUUUUUAGUACGCGAUUCAUGAAUGAACAUAGAUCUAGGCCUAUCUCAACUCGGCUUCGCAGCUUUAGUAAACGAAUGUAACUUUAGAAAACCAAUUUUGAAUGUUUAUUUGAUCAAAAUAUGAAAUGAAUGGACUUUAAUUAAUAUAUUUAUGUGUUAAAGUAUUAAACUAUCUGUGCGAAGAGAAGUUUUAUCAUCUUAGAGUUGGAUUAGAGUUUUAGAUCUAGGGAUGGGAUUAUAAAGUAAACAAUUAAACGAAAUAAUUUUUAGUACGCGAUUCAUGAAUGAAUAUAGAUCUAGGCCUAUCUCAACUCGUCUUCGCAGCUUUCGUAAACGAAUGUAACUUUAGAAAACCAAUUUUGAAUGUUUAUUUGAUCAAAAUAUGAAAUGAAUGGACUUUAAUUAAUAUAUUUAUGUGUUAAAGUAUUAAACUAUCUGUGCGAAGAGAAGUUUUAUCAUCUUAGAGUUGGAUUAGAGUUUUAGAUCUAGGGAUGGGAUUAUAAAGUAAACAAUUAAACGAAAUAAUUUUUAGUACGCGAUUCAUGAAUGAAUAUAGAUCUAGGCCUAUCUCAACUCGUCUUCGCAGCUUUCGUAAACGAAUGUAACUUUAGAAAACCAAUUUUGAAUGUUUAUUUGAUCAAAAUAUGAAAUGAAUGGACUUUAAUUAAUAUAUUUAUGUGUUAAAGUAUUAAACUAUCUGUGCGAAGAGAAGUUUUAUCAUCUUAGAGUUGGAUUAGAGUUUUAGAUCUAGGGAUGGGAUUAUAAAGUAAACAAUUAAACGAAAUAAUUUUUAGUACGCGAUUCACUACGGAAUUGUCUAAUGAAAGAAUGUUCGUCAGGAAAUCUGUAAUCACAGAUAUAAGGAACUAAUUAAUGUAAAAAAUGCUUUUGAAACACAAAAUUGAAGGUUAAUUUUAUUAUAUAAUGAAAUUAUUGGAUCUUCUUUUGUAUUUUCAUGUGUCAAAGUAAAAAACUAUCUGCGCAAAGUGUAUUUCUUAAAAUUAGAUCUAGGUCUAAAUCCUUUCUAUCUUUUCUCAUGUCAACAUUGUAGACAUGGCCUAGAUCCAUAAAAUACUAUAGCUGUAAUAGAGUCGGACAACUUUAUUUUUUUUGAGGGUCUUACAUUUGUUUUAGGGCUACAAUACAUUCACUAAGGUCUAAGUUGGUACCCAAGGAACAUUCCUGCCUAGUUUUAUCAAGAUUGGUCAAGCGGUUUUGAUGUCUAUAAGUAACAUACAUACAUACAUACCCCUCACAUUCUACUUUAUAAUAUA